UGAAGGAUGAGACACAUGGUGUGACCCUAAAUACAACCUCGUUGAGUUCAACACCUGGAUAAUUCAUGCUUUGUGAGAUAUGAAACAGAUUGAAUUCGUGUUCACUGGCAGCAUCAACAAUAAAAAGGUAGCACGUAACAUCCAAUGUACCCUUCGUAGUAAGCAUAUUUCACAAAGCGAAGAAAAACAGUGAUCAACAUUGACACUAAUAUUUUUAAAAUAUUUGUCUGUCUUCCCACAAUAUUUGUUAAAAUUAAAUACAAGCAAUUUCUAACAAUGAGAAGGAAAAUUUUGACAGCAACCGACUAGUUUCGUAAGGAAAGAUGGAAGAAUCUCAUGAAAUACCUGUGGAACUAUUGGCACUGAAUAAUCCGAUCAUUUUGACUAAAAUACUAAAACAGAGUUCCAUCAAGUUGACGAGGUGUCGAUUAGUUUGCAAACUUUGGAAUGAAAUGGUCCUCACCCUUAAAAAUACAACACUCGCCUUAAAAUUUCAUAAAAUUGAUGAAAUGGGUGACAAUUUUUUCGAAAGGUGCUCCACAUUUGAUGGCCGACUUGCAAAAUGGGUUAACGUUAAGACGAGUUUCAAUCCAGCUAACCGAAGAAGCCAUGAGAAGAGUGACCCCGUAACCCCCAACUUGAGCCGGCUUUGCGAAUUAUUUAAUACUAAUAUCCAAAUUUUGAAGGUUGACGUCGCUCACGAAAUCACUGUAACAUCAAUUCAUCACGUUUUGCGUCAAAAUUUAUGUCCGAAUUUGAAAAAGUUGCUGAUUUUUUGGACCAAGCGGAUGCUUUUCAGGGAUCGGGAGGACGAUUUCACAACGGAGCGACCCGUUCUGUCCGCAGCGCUAAAUCCAAGACCGACUUUGACCAGUUUUGUUUUCUGGCAUCAACAAGUGACCCCCUUUUUCACCAAUUUGAUUCAUCUGGUAGUCAACGCGUCACAGAAUUUGAAGCAGAUCGCUCUGCCGUGGGGCGUAUUUCCAGAUUUCGCAAAUUCCAAGUCUCUCACCUCCUUAACGAUCAAUAUGUGUUGGCUUCGAGUCAAUCACAUCAAUCGCGCCGACAUCGGUGCUGAACUUUCGCGGAUGAUCCGCCAAGUGGGGGACCAACUUGUCACGUUGAAGUUUUCGAAUUUCUUCAAGUUAAGAAUAAGAGGUGGGAGCUAUGAUGAGAACGAGUUAAACAUAAUGGGCUUCCGGUUGCCAAGAAGGAUGUCAAAAUUGCAAGAAUUUGAAAACCCGAUAACCGAAAUUAUUCAGUGUGACGAGCUUUUUCAAAAUAUCGAAGCCAUGCCAGCCCUGGAGACGCUGGUUAUGGGAAAAAUAAUUACAAGAUUGAGAAGCUUGGACACAAUUUUGCAGACUAUUUGCAAUGGGAAUACAGUUUUGGCAAGUGUGCGGUUUCUGGAGCUGAGCGGGGUGCAUGAUCCUAAAGUAUUGGAUCGACUGACGAACGCGUUUCCGAGCGUGGAGAAAUUGAGCGUGGAAAUUCUUUGGUGCAGGAGCACGUGCCAUCGCCGUCGGUUCACCUGUGGCACGAUUCAACCCGUGUUGAAUCGAGUUGGGGUGGAUUUGGGCGGGGUGCUCACAACCUGUUCAGGCUGGAGGAGAUUUGUGGUUGAGCCUGCCAACAUGUGACCAGGAAGUGGGAACAAUUAUUCAAGCACUAUUGGAAGGCAGGGAGUUGUAUGCGUGGCUGAAAACGAUUUAUGUGGCCACGUGUGGUGGAAAUUUUCCACACCGUGACUUUACCCAGGACGAGCUCGAUCUGUGGAAACAACUGCAUGUGGCGAUGGCUGGAAUGGAUUCCGUCUAUGUUUCAAAUCUUUGUCUCACCAAAAAUACAAGAGAAACUAUGAAGGAUUUCAUGACGUCGAAUGGGAUAACCUGUCGAAGUUUCAUACAUUUGUACAUGUGAAAACGAAUAGAUAAACUUUUGUUUUUUUUUGAAUAUCGAUUAUUAUUAUUUUCAUACAUAGUUCAAGACUUUAUUCAGGGUGUGGAGUACAAAUAUUUUUCAUUUGUGUUUGACGUACAUAUAUUUAUAAAUGACUAAAUGCUGAAUAUGUAUCUAAAUUCUACCUUAGUUCAAGUUACUAUUAGUUAAAAUCCGUAAAGCUUGUGUAAUGUUUGUUUGGGAAAACUUGAUUUUGUUGAUAUUGUUUAUAAUAAAUACAAGCCGUAACCUUA